CCUAGUUACCAGGCACGGUUAUGGUGGGCACUCUAAGGAGACUGCCGGUGACAAACCGGAGGAAGGUGGGGAUGACGUCAAGUCAUCAUGGCCUUACGGCCUGGGCUACACACGUGCUACAAUGGUCGGUACAAAGGGUUGCCAAGCCGCGAGGUGGAGCUAAUCCCAUAAAACCGAUCGUAGUCCGGAUCGCAGUCUGCAACUCGACUGCGUGAAGUCGGAAUCGCUAGUAAUCGUGAAUCAGAAUGUCACGGUGAAUACGUUCCCGGGCCUU
rnacentral:rRNA from 1 species